rnacentral:rRNA from 1 species
GACGAACGCUGGCGGCGUGCUUAACACAUGCAAGUCGAACGGAAAGGCCCUGCUUUUGUGGGGUGCUCGAGUGGCGAACGGGUGAGUAACACGUGAGUAACCUGCCCUUGACUUUGGGAUAACUUCAGGAAACUGGGGCUAAUACCGGAUAGGAGCUCCUGCUGCAUGGUGUGGGUUGGAAAGUUUCGGCGGUUGGGGAUGGACUCGCGGCUUAUCAGCUUGUUGGUGUGGUAGUGGCUUACCAAGGCUUUGACGGGUAGCCGGCCUGAGAGGGGUACCGGCCACAUUGGGACUGAGAUACGGCCCAGACUCCUACGGGAGGCAGCAGUGGGGAAUAUUGCACAAUGGGCGGAAGCCUGAUGCAGCAACGCCGCGUGCGGGAUGACGGCCUUCGGGGUGUAAACCGCUUUCGCCUGUGACGAAGCGUGAGUGACGGUAAUGGGUAAAGAAGCACCGGCUAACUACGUG